rnacentral:rRNA from 1 species
GACGAACGCUGGCGGCGUGCUUAACACAUGCAAGUCGAACGGAAAGGCCCUGCUUUUGUGGGGUGCUCGAGUGGCGAACGGGUGAGUAACACGUGAGUAACCUGCCCUUGACUUUGGGAUAACUUCAGGAAACUGGGGCUAAUACCGGAUAGGAGCUCCUGCUGCAUGGUGGGGGUUGGAACGUUUCGGCGGUUGGGGAUGGACUCGCGGCUUAUCAGCUUGUUGGUGGGGUAGUGGCUUACCAAGGCUUUGACGGGUAGCCGGCCUGAGAGGGUGACCGGCCACAUUGGGACUGAGAGACGGCCCAGACUCCUACGGGAGGCAGCAGUGGGGAAUAUUGCAUAAUGGGCGGAAGCCUGAUGCAGCAACGCCGCGUGCGGGAUGACGGCCUUCGGGUUGUAAACCGCUUUCGCCUGUGACGAAGCGUGAGUGACGGUAAUGGGUAAAGAAGCACCGGCUAACUACGUG